AACGAACGCUGGCGGCAUGCCUAACACAUGCAAGUCGAACGAGACCUUCGGGUCUAGUGGCGCACGGGUGCGUAACGCGUGGGAACCUGCCCUUAGGUUCGGAAUAACUCCCCGAAAGGGGUGCUAAUACCGGAUAAUGUCUUCGGACCAAAGAUUUAUCGCCUUUGGAUGGGCCCGCGUUGGAUUAGCUAGUUGGUAGGGUAAAAGCCUACCAAGGCGACGAUCCAUAGCUGGUCUGAGAGGAUGAUCUGCCACACUGGGACUGAGACACGGCCCAGACUCCUACGGGAGGCAGCAGUGGGGAAUAUUAGACAAUGAGCGAAAGCCUGAUCCAGCAAUGCCGCGUGAGUGAUGAAGGCCUUAGUGUUGUAAAGCUCUUUUACCCGGGAUGAUAAUGACAGUACCGGGAGAAUAAGCUCCGGCUAACUCCGUG
rnacentral:rRNA from 1 species